AUAUUCGCAAGAACACCAGUGGCGAAGGCGGCUCACUGGGCCAUUACUGACGCUGAGGCACGAAAGCGUGGGGAGCAAACAGGAUUAGAUACCCUGGUAGCCCACGCCGUAAACGAUGAAUGCCAGCCG
rnacentral:rRNA from 1 species